GAGUAGGGCGGGACACGUGGUAUCCUGUCUGAAUAUGGGGGGCCCAUCCUCCAAGGCUAAAUACUCCUGACUGACCGAUAGUGAACCAGUACCGUGAGGGAAAGGCGAAAAGAACCCCGGCGAGGGGAGUGAAAAAGAACCUGAAACCGUGUACGUACAAGCAGUGGGAGCACGCUUAGGCGUGUGACUGCGUACCUUUUGUAUAAUGGGUCAGCGACUUAUAUUCUGUAGCAAGGUUAACCGAAUAGGGGAGCCGAAGGGAAACCGAGUCUUAACUGGGCGUUAAGUUGCAGGGUAUAGACCCGAAACCCGGUGAUCUAGCCAUGGGCAGGUUGAAGGUUGGGUAACACUAACUGGAGGACCGAACCGACUAAUGUUGAAAAAUUAGCGGAUGACUUGUGGCUGGGGGUGAAAGGCCAAUCAAACCGGGAGAUAGCUGGUUCUCCCCGAAAGCUAUUUAGGUAGCGCCUCGUGAAUUCAUCUCCGGGGGUAGAGCACUGUUUCGGCAAGGGGGUCAUCCCGACUUACCAACCCGAUGCAAACUGCGAAUACCGGAGAAUGUUAUCACGGGAGACACACGGCGGGUGCUAACGUCCGUCGUGAAGAGGGAAACAACCCAGACCGCCAGCUAAGGUCCCAAAGUCAUGGUUAAGUGGGAAACGAUGUGGGAAGGCCCAGACAGCCAGGAUGUUGGCUUAGAAGCAGCCAUCAUUUAAAGAAAGCGUAAUAGCUCACUGGUCGAGUCGGCCUGCGCGGAAGAUGUAACGGGGCUAAACCAUGCACCGAAGCU
rnacentral:rRNA from 1 species